AGCCAACAACGCGCGGUGUUCCCAAGC
rnacentral:rRNA from 1 species